GAGGGUAGAGCUCAAUGUUAGAGCGCAUGCUCAGCAUUCAUGAGGUCCUGGGUUCAAUCCCCAGUACCACUG
rnacentral:tRNA from 1 species